AUAUGAAUUUAUAUUUUAGGUUUAAUAGAAAUCUCACUGUUAAUUAAAAGGGAAGAACGGUGUAAAUCCGUCACGGUCCCACCACUGUAACUAGUAGAUUUAAUUUAUUAUACCACUUAGAUUAUUAUCUAGGGAAGGCUGCUUUUAAUCUUAAACUAGGAGUCAGGAGACCUGCCUAAAGUAUUAGUAAUAU
rnacentral:ncRNA from 1 species